rnacentral:rRNA from 1 species
UACGUAGGGAGCAAGCGUUGUUCGGAAUCAUUGGGCGUAAAGCGCGCGUAGGCGGCCUCAUAAGUCCGUUGUGAAAGUCCAAGGCUCAACCUUUGAAAGCCGAUGGAUACUGUGAGGCUAGAGUCCGGAAGAGGCGAGUGGAAUUCCUGGUGUAGCGGUGGAAUGCGCAGAUAUCAGGAGGAACACCAAUAGCGAAGGCAGCACGCUGGGACGGUACUGACGCUGAGAAGCGAAAGCAUGGGGAGCGAACAGG